rnacentral:tRNA from 1 species
GGGGAUAUAAUUUAAUUGGUAGAAUAUUGAUUUUGCAUAUCAAAAAUAUUGGUUCAAUUCCAAUUAUCUCCA